rnacentral:rRNA from 1 species
AUUGAACGCUGGCGGCAGGCCUAACACAUGCAAGUCGAGCGGCAGCGACUUAACUGAACCUUCGGGGAACGUUAAGGGCGGCGAGCGGCGGACGGGUGAGUAAUGCCUGGGAAUAUGCCCUGAUGUGGGGGAUAACUAUUGGAAACGAUAGCUAAUACCGCAUAAUCUCUUCGGAGCAAAGAGGGGGACCUUCGGGCCUCUCGCGUCAGGAUUAGCCCAGGUGGGAUUAGCUUGUUGGUGAGGUAAUGGCUCACCAAGGCAACGAUCCCUAGCUGGUCUGAGAGGAUGAUCAGCCACACUGGAACUGAGACACGGUCCAGACUCCUACGGGAGGCAGCAGUGGGGAAUAUUGCACAAUGGGGGAAACCCUGAUGCAGCCAUGCCGCGUGUGUGGAGAAGGCCUUCGGGUUGUAAAGCACUUUCAGUAGGGAGGAAGGUAGUGUAGUUAACACCUGCACUAUUUGACGUUACCUACAGAAGAAGCACCGGCUAACUCCGUGCCAGCAGCCGCGGUAAUACGGAGGGUGCGAGCGUUAAUCGGAAUUACUGGGCGUAAAGCGCAUGCAGGCGGCCUGUUAAGUCAGAUGUGAAAGCCCGGGGCUUAACCUCGGAAUUGCAUUUGAAACUGGCAGGCUAGAGUCUUGUAGAGGGGGGUAGAAUUUCAGGUGUAGCGGUGAAAUGCGUAGAGAUCUGAAGGAAUACCAGUGGCGAAGGCGGCCCCCUGGACAAAGACUGACGCUCAGAUGCGAAAGCGUGGGGAGCAAACAGG